UUAAAGUUAGUGUUAUUUAUUUUAAUAUUAAUGUAAAUAAAAUGUGUGAAGAAGCGCUGGAUGAGAUGUCGGUUCUGUCUGCGAUCUACUGUGGAAAAGACGAGUUUGAGCUAAUUGAGCAUUCAGCUCAAACUGGACUUGUGUAUCGCAUCCGAACUGCAGUAGAAACCAAAAGUGGUUGUAAAGUCCUGGAUCUUGUGUUCCACGUCUCUCCAGAAUAUCCCCAAACCCCUCCAGACAUCAGCGUGACCUCCAGUGACCUCUCGAGAACCCAGUGCCAGGAUCUGAGGAAAGCGCUGCUCAGUGAAGCUCACGGUCUUCCACCUGAACCCAUGGUGCACCAGCUAGUGACGUGGCUUCAACAAAGCUUCACCGGUCUGAUCGCAGCCCCAGACUGGCAGGACCGCUCACGUACACCAGACGGUACGGCCGAGGAGACCUGGAUCACCCUGCUGCACUUGGAUCACAUGAGAUCCAAAGCGAGAUACGUCAGACUGAUCGAAAAGUGGACGUCAGAGUUGGAUCUGACCGGGAGACUGUUUAUGGGGAAACCUACGCUGAUUCUUCUGCAGGGAACCAAGAAGAGCAUUAAGGAAUACGUCCACCUACAGAGGACGGUCAAAGUGGACGUCGACUCGUCAGGAAAACGGUGCAAAGAGAGGAUGAUGAAGGUUUUAUGUGAAGUCCCUCUCACUGACGAUUUCACAAACAGUGAUGAAGCUGAAGGUAAACUGGACGACCUCGACCUGAUGGAGCUCGUUAUCGCCGCAGGUUUCCUGUUCAUCUCAGGGCUGCUAAUGAGCGGACUCUUCGGAACCGGACCCACAGCGACCCUGACCAGGAUAAAACAGACACUAAAUGAAUGAAUAAAUUAAGUACAGACAGAUUUAUUUGAACAAGUGAACAUCUGAUGGACCAGCUGCCCCAGAGGCGGCGUGACGGCUCUUUUCCAUAGUAGGCGCCAUGUUUGGACCCAGCAGGUUGCACCAGUUGGUGGGGAUGAACGCCAGCGCCUGAUCCACGUUCCUCGAGCCGCCUGGAAUCCGCCGAGGUUUUAUCGGCUCUUUGUUCCUCUCGACUCUCCGUCUUCCGUGAUGUUUACAGUCAGAACGAGACCCGGCGUAAUGAUUUCAGUCCAUCGCGGGUCCGCCACGGCUGAUCCUUCUUUAUAGGCUUGAUAUAAUUUAGUGGGCCUGGAGCACGCCCACCGGUGGCAUACAUUAGAUCUUGACUGUUGCAAUCAAGUGCAGUGACAUGUUUUGAUUUAAGGAGCUGUGGGAGGCCGGCGGGCUCGAGCUGAGAGAGACGUAUACUGUAUAUAAAAACAUUCCAGUACAAAGCUUGAGGAACGCUCGCCGUCAGAAUUCCCCGCCGAGCUGUUUGUAAGGGACGUCGGUAGAGUUCAGCGUCACUUUAACGCCAGGUUUUAUUGUUCCUGCUGUUGUUAAAAUUGAUUUAAAGAUUUGUGGUGAUUCAUGUGAUCUGUCAAACAUCAGAUGAAAUAAAGAUACGAGGCG